GUUCAGUAUUGUUUUUGUGGAGUUAAAAUAUUAUUUAAUCUGUAGAAUAUUAUCGAAAAUGUAACAUUAUUGCUUUCACGCAUUCGUGAAUA